GACGAACGCUGGCGGCGUGCUUAACACAUGCAAGUCGAACGGUGAAGCGCGUUCCUUUUUGGUGGGUGUGGAUGAGUGGCGAACGGGUGAGUAACACGUGAGUAACCUGCCCCCUUCUUCUGGAUAACCGCAUGAAAGUGUGGCUAAUACGGGAUAUUCUGGGUCUGUUGCAUGAUGGGUCGGGGAAAGAUAUUGUUUCGGUGUGGGAUGGGCUCGCGGCGUAUUAGCUAGUUGGUGGGGUGAUGGCCUACCAAGGCGACGACGGGUAGCCGCCCUGAGAGGAUGGUGGGCCACACUAGAGGGAAGGCGCGGUCGAGCAUACUACGGGGGGAAGCAGUAGGGAAUAUUACGCAAUGGGGGACAGAAUGACGGAGCAGCGACGCGUGGGGAGUGAUGGUCUUCGGCUCGUAGUAAACUGCUAUCGCGAGUGAAGAAAUGUGGCAGUAUUUGUGGGCGUCUUGACGGUACCUGGACAAGAAGCCACGGCUAACUACGUG
rnacentral:rRNA from 1 species